CCUACGGGUGGCAGCAGUGAGGAAUAUUGGUCAAUGGACGAGAGUCUGAACCAGCCAAGUAGCGUGAAGGAUGACUGCCCUAUGGGUUGUAAACUUCUUUUAUAUGGGAAUAAAAUGUUCCACGUGUGGGAUUUUGUAUGUACCAUAUGAAUAAGGAUCGGCUAACUCCGUGCCAGCAGCCGCGGUAAUACGGAGGAUACGAGCGUUAUCCGGAUUUAUUGGGUUUAAAGGGAGCGUAGGUGGAUUGUUAAGUCAGUUGUGAAAGUUUGCGGCUCAACCGUAAAAUUGCAGUUGAAACUGGCAGUCUUGAGUACAGUAGAGGUGGGCGGAAUUCGUGGUGUAGCGGUGAAAUGCUUAGAUAUCACGAAGAACUCCGAUUGCGAAGGCAGUUCACUGGACUGCAACUGACACUGAGGCUCGAAAGUGUGGGUAUCAAACAGGAUUAGAUACCCUUGUAGUC
rnacentral:rRNA from 1 species